UACGGAGGAUCCGAGCGUUAUCCGGAUUUAUUGGGUUUAAAGGGUGCGCAGGCGGGAAAUUAAGUCGGCGGUGAAAUUUUGCAGCUCAACUGUAAAAGUGCCUUCGAAACUGGUUUCCUUGAGUGUAGAUGAAGUAGGCGGAAUUUGUGGUGUAGCGGUGAAAUGCAUAGAUAUCACGAGGAACUCCGAUUGCGCAGGCAGCUUACUAAACUACUACUGACGCUCAGGCACGAAGGCGUGGGGAUCAAACAGGAUUAGAUACCCCCGUAGUCCCUGA
rnacentral:rRNA from 1 species